rnacentral:rRNA from 1 species
UAUUGGUCAAUGGGCGGGAGCCUGAACCAGCCAAGCCGCGUGAAGGAGGAAGGCGCCAUGCGUCGUAAACUUCUUUUGUCGGGGAACAAAGGGCGCCACGCGUGGCGUUGUGAGUGUACCCGCAGAAAAAGCAUCGGCUAACUCCGUGCCAGCAGCCGCGGUAAUACGGAGGAUGCGAGCGUUAUCCGGAUUUAUCGGGUUUAAAGGGUGCGGAGGCGGGCUGUUAAGUCAGCGGUAAAGAUGCGGGGCUCAACCCCGUCCGGCCGUUGAAACUGGGGGCCUUGAGUGGGCGAGAAGAAGGCGGAAUGCGUGGUGUAGCGGUGAAAUGCAUAGAUAUCACGCAGAACCCCGAUUGCGAAGGCAGCCUUCCGGCGCCCUACUGACGCUGAGGCACGAAAGUGCGGGGAUCGAACAGG